GUAAAAGGGUUCCUUGUCAAUUUUUUUUCAACGAUACAAAACACAACUUGAAACCUGGGUAAGGGGCGAUUAUAGCUAUCAGUAAAAUACAUCAUUUAAUUGAAACAUGAGGAUCAAAAACACUCUUCUUCUUCGCACGUCCUUUUUAUUGUUUAUUUCGUCAGUAAUUGUUGUACUGAUGCCAUCGGAACAGUAACAAAUCGAAACGUCAUCAUUAAAACGAAAUGGAAUUUUCUUGGCAUUUUGCAGUCAGCUGUUUAGUAAGUUUCUGCAAGUACACGAUUAUCAAGUAAAGUCCAAGUUUGAAAUUAAUGUCAUCUGAAAAAUGGUCAUAUCUUGCAUUUAAGGAAUGCAGUUGGCUGCAAAUAAGGUCUCUAAUGUUUGAACAUUCUUAUUCAUCAAUUAUGGACGAGUGCAUCCGUGAUUCUGUCUAAAUUAUUUUAUGUCGACGUAUAACGAUCAAAACAGAAAACUCCAAAAAAGAAGGAGGUAGAAAAUGCCAACUUAAACAAUGUCACAAAAUUGUGCUCCAUAUUGCUGGAAGGGAAUCAAAAUUCAUCCAUGGAAUACAGCUGACGGAACCCCCUGAAGACCCCUCCAUCGCUGAAAAUACUCCACACAAGAAUGGUCGAAUGUUGUAAGUAACUAGCCCUGGUUCUCUACGAGGUGGCGCACCUUGUUCAUUUCAGUUAUGUAACUUAUAGCAAAUAUGAAUUCAUAUUUAAAUCUAAUUUAAUUCAAUACAAUUUUCA